rnacentral:rRNA from 1 species
AUGCUGCCAGUGCUCGAGUGCGCUGAUGUAACCGAUAAGGACGGAGGGAGGCAUUAUUGGGUCUUCAGUGUCAACUUGAGGGACGGACGCUUCGAAGUUUUUGACUCAAGCAGGACACUGGACAACAUUGAGCUGAUGAACACCGCCUCUACCAUCGCGGGGGCAGUACGCCAGCUAUGGAGGAAGCAUUACCCAAAGUUCAGCAUCGAGCACUUCCAGAUUAUUGACAUUGACGUACCGAAGCAGCUCGGCAAUAAUGAGUGUGGGUUGUUCGCACUGCUUAACGCCACCGAGUGGAAUGGUAGCCAACUGCCCAACUACGACCCCAAGGAAGUACUCAACAUCAGGAAGAAGCUGGCAUAUGAUUGGGUUAUCAGUGUGCACAACACCGCCCCAUGGAGGAAGUUGCUGAGAUACGACAAGGAGUAG